AAAAAACUAAACAAGGCUGUUAAAGAAAUAUUGCUAAUACAAGACUUCUACCGUUAUGGGAAGCAACAACAUGGACGAGAACUUUUUUCUUGACAUUCCAGAUGCCGCGCUAGAAGCUUUAAAUUUUGACUUAUCAAGCGUUAUUCCUCAAGAAGAAAUGUUGAAGGGAAGAGCGCUUAAAGGGGCCAAGAAAUUUCCCUCUGAGGCAGCUGCAGUUGGAAGCAAGGGAUUGGUUGGUUCAGGAAAAUGAAUUCUAUGACGCUGUUGUAAAACCACCUCUGAUUGGGCCGAUCCAAAAGCGGUGAUAACAAGCUGGAGAGUGUCAGAAGCAGGAAAUCUCCCUCAUUCUACAGAAAGACGGGCAAAGGGUUAAACCAGAAAAGCUGCCUCGUUUUACAAAAAGACUGCAAAGGUAAACAUUUUUUAAUUUUACCCUGAGCUUUAUUGUAUUUUUCUUAGCCACUUUUUUAUAGAGUUUUUACCCUGUGCUUACAGAACAGGCUUUCUCUUUGUCAAUUUUCCUUUUAAACCUCGUUUUUUUCUUAACCUACAUUGGUAUUGACUAGUUUUAAUACGUUUUAUUCACUUUUAUUACACUGCCUUAGUACAUUUUCUUUUAAACCUAGUUUUUAAUGUUUUUAAAAGCCUUUUUCUUAGGACCCCUUUACAGUUUUUGGCCAUGUGCUUACUUAACAGGUUUUGCUUCAGUCAAUUCCCCUUUUAAACCUAGCUGUAUUGUUUUUAAUAUUACUUAAUAAUAUUAAAAAGCUUUUUAUAACCUAUGUUGGCAGUCAAAAGUUUCAAUCC